GGGGAAUAUUGGACAAUGGGCGCAAGCCUGAUCCAGCCAUACCGCGUGGGUGAAGAAGGCCUUCGGGUUGUAAAGCCCUUUUGUUGGGAAAGAAAAGCAGCCGGUUAAUACCCGGUUGUUCUGACGGUACCCAAAGAAUAAGCACCGGCUAACUUCGUGCCAGCAGCCGCGGUAAUACGAAGGGUGCAAGCGUUACUCGGAAUUACUGGGCGUAAAGCGUGCGUAGGUGGUUGUUUAAGUCUGUCGUGAAAGCCCUGGGCUCAACCUGGGAAGGGGCAGUGAAACUGGGGGGAUAGAGUGUGGCAGGAGGUAGGGGAAUUCCUGGUGUAGCAGUGAAAUGCGUAGAGAUCAGGAGGAACAUCCGUGGCGAAGGCGACUGCCUGGGCCAACACUGACACUGAGGCACGAAAGCGUGGGGAGCAAACA
rnacentral:rRNA from 1 species